rnacentral:lncRNA from 1 species
UUUUGUCAGUGCUUUUUCUCCGUUAACUGAAAAAAUCAUACAUUUUUGGAAAUGGAAAUGCAGCCACAUAUAAUGGCCAGCCUGGGCUCUCCUGGUGCCCACUUGCCCCAGCCGGCCUCUUACACCCCGGGCUCUGCUCCACUCUGAGGCUGCAGCCCAGACUGCCUGUGCCCCACACUUACCAUGGAUGCAGGGUCAGUGCACCCCUCUGGAGCUGACAGCCCAGCCUGUGCCCAGGACCUUUCUGCCUUCCCUUCCCGCCCUGUCCUGAGAGCUCACCGUGCCCUCUGUGGCCCCGACCCCAAGGCUUGUUUGUUUCUUGGCCUGCUCCUCCCUGCCCUGCGCCAUACGGAACACACAGUAGGUGCUCACUGGGGAGUGAAGGAAACGCCCACCACUGAGUGGCUGCUCAGGGGCUGAGAACCGAAACUUUGUUUAGGUUUUCUUCUGUAUUUUCCUUGCCUCAGGUUUAAACUUUUUUCUUAAUCUUUAUCUUCACAAAGGUUGAAAAAGAUCAUCUAGCAAAGCCUUUUUUCCCAGCUACAUAUAAGGAAUUUGAAAGUCACAUAAAAUGGUUAAGAAAAUGUGCCAAGAUUACCUCAGUAAUUCUGGUCUGUGUUCUCAGGAGACCCUGGAAAUAAACAAUGAAAAACGUUGACCUCUUGGCGAGAAUGCAAAGAAGGGAACGCUUGCUUAUACGCUGUUGGUGAACUGUCACCCCUACAACUCAGCUUGCAACCAGCCCUGGCCACCAGUUUCCCCACACUGAGCUGAAUAUCGGACAUGCCCAUCUCAGACAUUCCAGCCCAUUCUGAAAUUCCACAUCGAUUCACCUGACAAAGUCUGAAGUUCCAGGGCAAUUUAUCUGGAAAAGCUUACCUGGAAUCACGUGUCAUUUCAACCAACAACUGUUGAAGAGGACGUGGCAUUAAAACCAAGGGUAUCAAUUAUUUAUAAGGGCUGUGUGCUGGUUGGUCCAAGCAUCUCUCCUUCACGCCAUCACUCCUUUCAAGAGCUGCCUCUGUUUUCUAAUUUAGCACAGGAAUUUAGAUGCCCCUAAAUAAGUAGGCAUCCAGUAUCUGCCCACACCAGUUUUAGUGAGAGUACAUAUGGAGACACUACCACCACCCCUGCUCUCCUACUGCAUACCCCACCAUGCCAAAGCAUGGUGGCUCACACCUGUAAUCCCAGUGCUUUGGGAGGCCAAAGAGGAGGAACACUUGAGAUCAGAGGUCUGAGACGAGCCUGGGCAACAUAGUGAAACCUCAUUUCUACAAAUAAGUUAAAAUAUAUAUAUGUAGGGCAUAGUGGCACACACCUGUGGUUUCAGCUUUUCAGCAAGCUGAGGCCGGAAGAUCACUUGAGCCCAGGAGUUUGAGGAUGCAGUGAGCUAGGAUUAUGCCACUGCACUGUAGCCUGGGCAGCGGAGAGACCCCAUCUCUAAAAAGAGGAGAAGGAGGGAAAAUACUUCUCCUUCUCAGACCCAAAGUAAAAAGGUUUCUGGUCUCACACUGACCAGAAAAACAUUGAUAUUUACUUAAGCAAUAUUAAAAGGGUCACUGCUUUAGAACAGGAUUAAAGAGAAAGUAAAAUCAACAUUGAGAUAGGAGGACAGAGGCCAUCAACUGAGUUCUGAUCCCAAUGAAGACGAGAAAAGGCUACAACUAUCUAGGUUAAAUAUCUACUUGUCCUAGAAAAAGCCUUUUGGCAGCAACAUAAAAUUCAUACCUCUUAGUUUUUAAAUUCCUAUGGAUGCUGAAGCAAAUAACCACAAUUUGGGUGGCUGAAAGUAACAGAAGUUUAUUCUUUCCAGUAUUGGAAACCAGGAAUCUGAGAUCAAGUUGUGGGCAGGGCUGGACUCCCCCUGGAGGCUCUAGGGGGUGUUCCUUCCUGCCUCUUCCAGUUCUUGGUGGCUCCAGG